GGGCACGUAGCUCAGUUGGUUAGAGCGCUACACUGAUAAUGUAGAGGUCGGAGGUUCGAAUCCUCCCGUGCCCACAA
rnacentral:tRNA from 1 species